rnacentral:rRNA from 1 species
UACGGGGGGAGCAAGCGUUGUUCGGAUUUACUGGGCGUAAAGGGCGCGUAGGCGGUCAGCACAAGUCAGUUGUGAAAUCCCCGGGCUUAACCUGGGAACUGCAUUUGUGACUGCAUGGCUGGAGUGCGGCAGAGGGGGAUGGAAUUCCGCGUGUAGCAGUGAAAUGCGUAGAUAUGCGGAGGAACACCGAUGGCGAAGGCAAUCCCCUGGGCCUGCACUGACGCUCAUGCACGAAAGCGUGGGGAGCAAACAGG